rnacentral:rRNA from 1 species
UUUUCCUCCGCGAGGCAGCAGUGGGGGAUAUUGCACAAUGGGGGCAACCCUUCUUCCUCUCCUCCUCUUUUUUUCCUCCUCUCCUCGGCUCGUAAAGCCCUGUCAGCAUUUAAGAAAAUGACGGUACCUUAAGAAGAAGCCCCGGCUAACUACUUGCCAGCAUCCGCGGUAAUACGUAGGGGUCAAGCGUUAUCCGGAUUUACUGGGUGUAAAGGGGGCGCAGACGGCGAUGCAAGCCAGGAGUGAAAGCCCGGGGCCCAACCCCGGGACUGCUCUUGGAACUGCGUGGCUAGAGUGCAGGAGGG